rnacentral:misc_RNA from 1 species
UGUGGGAGCGAGCUUGCUCGCGAUGGCGUCAGGUCAGCCAACAUUGAUGUCGACUGAUGCACCGCUAUCGCGAGCAAGCUCGCUCCCACA